UACAGAGGUCUCAAGCGUUGUUCGGAUUCAUUGGGCGUAAAGCGUGCGUAGGCGGUUUGUUAAGUCUGUCGUGAAAGCCCUGGGCUCAACCUGGGAAUUGCGAUGGAUACUGGCAAGCUAGAGUACGGUAGAGGAUGGUGGAAUUCCCGGUGUAGCGGUGAAAUGCGUAGAGAUCGGGAGGAACACCCGUGGCGAAGGCGGCCAUCUGGACCAGUACGUGACGCUGAGGCACGAAAGCGUGGGGAGCAAACAGG
rnacentral:rRNA from 1 species